CGUUGACACUGCACGUACGCUAGCCGGAAUUGUAUGUACUCGAUCUCGUAGAAACUAGCUCCGAUUGAUUCUUCUCGGCACCGUCGGCCAAGGUUUCUUCAGCGAACGCAAGCGAAUCAAUGGAUUACAAACAGGCUCGUGUCGAGCCUUGCUUUUGCUAUGUAUUACUUUGAUCUUUUUUCUUUGUGUAAUACAACGUGGGUUACAUAGGUAUAUAAAGAAGCUACCCUGUCCCUAUUCAAAACCUACACGGUGA
rnacentral:lncRNA from 1 species